GUGUAUGUAUGUUGUGUCUACUUGCCCGCCCUUGACUGUACGAGUGUGUGUGUGUGUUUUUAGCACUCCUCAGCUCGUACACUUCUUUUUGACUUUUUUGACUAUUACUGCUCUUAAAUUGCUCGUAAUUCCAAUCUGUCAAUGUCCGCCUAAUCCCGCUUCUAUGUGUCUAGGUGCCGGUGCCCGUCGUCAGUCCCCUCUCUCUCCGUUACUGGACCUGGAUCAGGAUUUGGACCUGGAUCUGGACACCCCUUAUGUUUAUUUUAUGACAUUUUUUAUCCACAACAUUAGAAAAACCACUUUCGUUUGCUUGUUUGCGCCUUCUUGUUCGCUCAAUUGCGUUUUCAGCGCAUAAAGAGCAAAAGUGUGUAAGGGGACACAGGAUGAAUGGGAACUAGUUUUGUUAUUGUACUUUUGAUGAAAAGUCACUUUCUAGACAUAAAAUGUCACUUUUUUCACCUUAUCAUACUUUUUCAUCAACUUUUGCAUUUUAAUGUAAACAAUCAUAUUUCGUAAUAUUUUGGGUCAGAAACAUUUCAUAGUACUAUAUUAUGUCUAACUAUGUGAAAACAAUCAAAUUGGAGUAGGUCGGGCAACUGAUUAUAUGAGUUUGUUAGAAAAACCACUUUCCUUUGCUCCAAGCGCCUUCUCGUUCGCUCUAUAGCGUUUUGAGUGGAUAAAGAGCACAAGUGUGUAAGGAGACACAGGAUGAAUGGGAACUAGUUUUGUUAUUGUACUUUUGAUGAAAAGUCACUUUCAAGACAUAAAAUGUCACUUUUUUCACCUUAUCAUACUUUUUCAUCAACUUUUGCAUUUUAUUGAAAAAAAUCAUAUUUCGUAAUAUUUUGGGUCAGAAACAUUUCAUAGUACUAUAUUAUGUCUAAAUAUGUGAAAAGAAUCAAAUUGGACUAGGUCGGGCAACUGAUUGUAUGAGUUUGUUAGAAAAACCACUUUCCUUUGCUCCUAGCGCCUUCUCGUUCGCUGUAUAGCGUUUUGAGCGGAUAAAGAGCACAAGUGUGUAAGGAGACACAGAAUGAAUGGGAACUAGUUUUGUUAUUGUACUUUUGAUGAAAAGUCACUUUCUAGACAUAAAAUGUCACUUUUUUCACCUUAUAAUACUUUUUCAUCAACUUUUGCAUUUUAUUGUAAACAAUCAUAUUUCGUAAUAUUUUGGGUCAGAAACAUUUCAUAGUACUAUAUUAUGUCUAACUAUGUGAAAAAAAUCAAAUUGGAGUAGGUCGUGCACUUGAUUAUAUGAGUUUGUUAGAAAAACCACUUUCCUUUGCUCCUAGCGCCUUCUCGUUCGCUGUAUAGCGUUUUGAGCGGAUAAAGAGCAUAAGUGUGUAAGGAGACACAGGAUGAAUGGGAACUAGUUUUGUUGUUGUACUUUUGAUGAAAAGUGACUUUCCAGACAUAAAAUGUCACUUUUAUCACCUUAUCAUACUUUUUCAUCAACUUUUGCAUUUUAUUGUAAACACUCAUAUUUCGUAAUAUUUUGGGUCAGAAACAUUUCAUAGUACUAUAUUAUGUCUAAAUAUUUGAAAACAAUCCAAUUGGACUAG
ensembl:lncRNA